UACGGGGGGGGCAAGCGUUGUUCGGAAUUACUGGGCGUAAAGGGCUCGUAGGUGGUCAACUAAGUCGGACGUGAAAUCCCUCGGCUUAACCGGGGAACUGCGUCCGAUACUGGAUGACUUGAGUUCGGGAGAGGGAUGCGGAAUUCCAGGUGUAGCGGUGAAAUGCGUAGAUAUCAGGAGGAACACCGAUGGCGAAGGCAGGUCUCUGGGCCGCAACUGACGCUGGAGGAGCGAAAGCAUGGGGAGCGAACAGG
rnacentral:rRNA from 1 species